CAAGUCGAACGGAGCUUAGAGAGCUUGCUUUUUAAGCUUAGUGGCGAACGGGUGAGUAACGCGUGAGUAACCUGCCCUAGAGUGGGGGACAACAGUUGGAAACGACUGCUAAUACCGCAUAAGCCCACGGUGCCGCAUGGUACUGAGGGAAAAGGAUUUAUUCGCUUUAGGAUGGACUCGCGUCCAAUUAGCUAGUUGGUGAGGUAACGGCCCACCAAGGCAACGAUACAUAGGGGGACUGAGAGGUUGAACGGCCACAUUGGGACUGAGAUACGGCCCAGACUCC
rnacentral:rRNA from 1 species